GACGAACGCUGGCGGCGUGCUUAACACAUGCAAGUCAUGGGGGCCCAGCAAUGGGCAACCGGCGAACGGGUGCGUAACACGUGAGCAACCUGCCUAUCCGCGGGGGAUAGCCGGCCCAACGGCCGGGUAAUACCGCAUACGCUCUUUCCGGGGCAUUCCGGACUGAGGAAACCUUUUAUUGGGUGGAUUGAGGGGCUCGCGGCCUAUCAGCUAGUUGGUGAGGUAACGGCUCACCAAGGCGACGACGGGUAGCUGGUCUGAGAGGAUGGCCAGCCACAUUGGGACUGAGAAACGGCCCAGACUCCUACGGGAGGCUG
rnacentral:rRNA from 1 species